rnacentral:rRNA from 1 species
CCUACGGGUGGCUGCAGUAGGGAAUCUUCCACAAUGGACGAAAGUCUGAUGGAGCAACGCCGCGUGAGUGAAGAAGGGUUUCGGCUCGUAAAGCUCUGUUGGCAGUGAAGAAAGACAGAGGUAGUAAUUGGCCUUUAUUUGACGGUAAUUACUUAGAAAGUCACGGCUAACUACGUGCCACCAGCCGCGGUAAUACGUAGGUGGCAAGCGUUGUACGGAUUUAUUGGGCGUAAAGCGAGUGCAGGCGGUUCAAUAAGUCUGAUGUGAAAGCCUGCGGCUCAACCGGAGAAUUGCAUCGGAAACUGUUGAACUUGAGUGCAGAAGAGGAGAGUGGAACGCCAUGUGGAGCGGUGGAAUGCGUAGAUAUAUGGAAGAACACCAGUGGCGAAGGCGGCUCUCUGGUCUGCAACUGACGCUGAGGCUCGAAAGCAUGGGGAGCGAACAGGAUUAGAUACCCGGGUAGUC